GAUGAACGCUAGCGGCAGGCCUAAUACAUGCAAGUCGAACGAUACCAGAGAGCUUGCUUUCUGGGAAAGUGGCGCACGGGUGCGUAACGCGUAUGCAACCUACCUUAAUCAGGGGGAUAGCCUCUCGAAAGAGAGAUUAACACCGCAUAAAAAUCACACUUCGGCAUCGAAGAAUGAUCAAAUAUUUAUAGGAUUAAGAUGGGCAUGCGUGACAUUAGCUAGUUGGUAAGUAACGGCUUACCAAGGCUACGAUGUCUAGGGGAUCUGAGAGGAUGACCCCCCACACUGGUAACUGAGACACGGACCAGACUCCUACGGGAGCAGCAGUAAGGAAUAUGGUCAAUGGGGGCAACCCUGAACCAGCCAUGCCGCGUGCAGGAA
rnacentral:rRNA from 1 species